GAAAUUUAUUUGAGAUUGUCGUAGAAUACGCAAAAUCGAGUUCGUGGACACGUAGUUUGUUUAAAUUGGAUUUAUAUCGGAAAAGUUAUGACCAAAAAUAGAAAUUUCUAUUUUUGGCAUGACUUUUGUUUGUGAGUUUCUUUUAGUAGAAAGCAAGAAAUAAAACAGAUGGAAGAGAGAGAAAGGGAAAGAAUCAGAAAAAAAUUAAAAGGAAAGAGAGAGAGCACGGGUAGAACCCGAGUCACCCCCUCCCAUUUUCUUUUUUCUUCUUCCGUCGCUGCUCUUCCCUUCUCCGGCGAAUUCGUCGCCGUCCGGCCACCCCAAGACGCAUCGUUGGGCACGGCGUGAUCCUCUCUUCCUUCUCCUUCUAGCUAUCUUGUUUUGGGCUGUGGAGGAAGAAUUGAAGGUGUUUGGGGACGUGAACAGUAGCGUGAACAGUUCCAUCCGAGUUCUUGAGUUUGGGUUUGGAAUUUCCAGCUUUUUCUGCUUGUUUUGGAUGUGAUUGCAGGACGUACUGAGCCCUCGAGCGAGGAGGACACAGACAGGCAGCAGGGUUAGCUGCGGGAUUU